CUACGGGCGGCACCAGUGGGGAAUAUUGCGCAAUGGGCGAAAGCCUGACGCAGCCACGCCGCGUGUGUGAUGAAGGCCUUCGGGUUGUAAAGCACUGUCGGGAGGGAAGAAGGCACUUCGGUGCUUGACGGUACCUCGCAAGAAAGCGCCGGCUAACUCCGUGCCAGCAGCCGCGGUAAUACGGAGGGCGCAAGCGUUGCUCGGAAUCACUGGGCGUAAAGCGCACACAGGCGGCCUGUCAAGUCGAAUGUGAAAGCCCCGGGCUCAACCCGGGAACUGCAUCCGAAACUGACAAGCUAGAGUAUGUGAGAGGGAAGCAGAAUUCCUGGUGUAGAGGUGAAAUUCGUAGAUAUCAGGAGGAACACCGGUGGCGAAGGCGGCUUCCUGGCACAACACUGACGCUCAUGUGCGAAAGCGUGGGGAGCAAACAGGAUUAGAUACCCCCGUAGUC
rnacentral:rRNA from 1 species